GCCGGCGUAGACAAACCCGGUAAGUCGCUGGAUUGACCCUCCAGUGCCCUCACGGGUGUCAGGGUUCAAAUCCCUGCGCCGGCG
rnacentral:tRNA from 1 species